CCUAAAGCGUAGAAAGGGAAUAGUAACUAAGAACUCGGGUGAAGAGAGGCAGCGGGUGGUGCGAGCUGCACUGAGAACUUGGUGAACUCACCCUGGAGCAGUGUCCAGGUCACAAUGGACGCCGGUGCGAGCCGUUAAAAGCGACGAAGUGCGUAUUGAAAUUGGGUGGUACCACGGGAGCAGGCUCUCGUCCCUUUA
rnacentral:ncRNA from 1 species